rnacentral:misc_RNA from 1 species
GAGUGUGGCGCUCCGGCGCCUCCCUCCAACCCCAUGUCGAAACGACUCUGUUGCCUCGGGGGCGACCCGGCCUUCGGGCGUCGGGGCCCCCGGCGGACACCUUCAUAACUCUUGCAUCUCUUGCGUCUGAGUGAUACUUAUAAUCAAUCAAAACUUUCAACAACGGAUCUCUUGGUUCU